rnacentral:rRNA from 1 species
UACGAAGGGGGCUAGCGUUGCUCGGAAUCACUGGGCGUAAAGCGCACGUAGGCGGAUCUUUAAGUCAGGGGUGAAAUCCUGGAGCUCAACUCCAGAACUGCCUUUGAUACUGGGGAUCUCGAGUCCGGAAGAGGUGAGUGGAACUCCGAGUGUAGAGGUGAAAUUCGUAGAUAUUCGGAAGAACACCAGUGGCGAAGGCGGCUCACUGGUCCGGUACUGACGCUGAGGUGCGAAAGCGUGGGGAGCGAUCCGG